rnacentral:rRNA from 1 species
UAAAUAGCCCGGCUCUCCCAAUCGCGGGAGGUCGCAGGCUUCUUAGAGGGACGAUCGGCUUCUAGCCGGUGGAGGUAUGAGGUAAUAACAGGUCUGUGAUGCCCUUAGAUGUUCUGGGCCGCACGCGCGCUACAC